rnacentral:rRNA from 1 species
GUGUCAGCAGCCGCGGUAAUACGUAGGGGGCAAGCGUUGUCCGGAUUUAUUGGGCGUAAAGAGCGUGUAGGCGGCUUCACAGGUCCGCUGUGAAAACUCGAGGCUCAACCUCGAGCUGUCGGUGGAAACCGUGUGGCUAGAGUCCGGAAGAGGAGAGUGGAAUUCCCGGUGUAGCGGUGAAAUGCGCAGAUAUCGGGAAGAACACCCGUGGCGAAGGCGGCUCUCUGGGACGGUACUGACGCUGAGACGCGAAAGCGUGGGGAGCGAACAGGAUUAGAUACCCGUGUAGUCC